rnacentral:rRNA from 1 species
UACGGAGGGUGCGAGCGUUGUCCGGAAUCACUGGGCGUAAAGGGCGCGUAGGCGGCCUGCUAAGUCGGACGUGAAAUCCCCCGGCUCAACCGGGGAACUGCGUCCGAUACUGGUGGGCUCGAAUCCGGGAGAGGGAUGUGGAAUUCCAGGUGUAGCGGUGAAAUGCGUAGAUAUCUGGAGGAACACCGGUGGCGAAGGCGGCAGUCCUGGACCGGUAUUGACGCUGAGGCGCGAAAGCCAGGGGAGCAAACGGG